CCCGGCUGCCUGGCGUCCCCGGGACAGGACAGCUGCCAAGCCUGCCCUCCCUCCCAGGGGCCCACCGGCAGCCAGGGAUCAUCCCCUCUGGGCCCCUGACCAGCUAGGGGGUGAUGGGCGAGACACACAACCUCCCUUGGCUGUGCCAGGGAUCAAGGGACCGUGUGGUUUCCAGGGAACCUUCAGGCUCUGGAGGGAUAGGGGCAGGCCAGGGUGGUGGGAGAGGGGUCGAAGUGGCCUUGUAUUCAACCACGGCCUGCCACCAAAUCACUGGUGACCUGGAGCAGUCCCUAACUGUAACUCUAAGUUACGGUUUCCUUAUCUGGAAAGUGGGGAUAAUCACAGCCCUGACCUCACAGGUGGCUGGAAGGACUCUGAGAAGAUCUGUGUACAGUGCUUACCGCAGGAAGCGCCCAAUAAAUAUUAUUAUUAUUGUUGUGACGUCGAGCUGGUCAUGACACGCUUUAAGACCCUGGAGAAAUCAUCCAGUUCUUUGGAGGACGUCUCCCCUGAAACACCCACCCCUCCCGCUGUGAUACAAAUUACAUCUUAUCUUUUCAAAACUUCUUCAGUACAUCAGCAAACAUUUAUUGAGCACCACUGUGUUCCGUGCCUGCUACCAGGUCCUGGAGAUACAGCAGUGGACAAAACAGAAAGACAUUUAAAAGCCCUCUGUUCUCGUGGAGCCUGUAUUCUAGCUGAGGAGAAUCAGACAUUUGAGGUCAUUUCAGUCACGGAGGCUGAGAUGGCUGACGGGGUAGGUGGCUGUGGCCUGAUGUGUCACUUUUGGCCUCAAACUGAGGCAAUGGGGACGAAGUGGCUGCGAGGCGCAGUAUCUGGCAUAUGUGUGAGAAACAACCACAGUGCCCUGGGGAGGGGCCACGUCCUCACCCCGCACCGCCAGGGUCUCAGCGUGUCUCCCAAAGGUCAUGUGGGCCUUUAAGAGGUGGUUGGGUCCUGAGAGCUCUGCCCUUAUGAAUGGAUUAGUAUCAUUAUUGCAGGAGUGGCUUCAUGAUGGAGAGAGUGGAUUUGUCAUGAAAGUGAGUUCGGCCAUUCCUUGCUGUCUCACGUGCCACCUCUUGCCAUGGGAUGCCCUCGCCAUGGGAUGACAGCAAGAAGGCCCUUGCUUGAGUGAGCCCCUCCAUCUUCGGCUCUCCGGCCUCCAGGACUGUUAGAAAUACAUCUCUGUUCUUUGUAAAUUACCCAGGCUGUAGUACUCUGUUAUAGCAACACAAAACAGACUAAGACACUACUAUGUAGAUGAAGAAACAGGCCCAAGAGGUGAGGAGUGUUGUCCAGGUCUUCUGGCCAGAGGAGCGGCAGAGAUGGGAUUUCAACCCUGGGACUGUGUGGCUUGUGACCACUCCUAGCUUCAGCCCUGCCCGGUGCUGAGGGGUUUGGGGCCAGAACGAUGGCCAGAUGUUUGGGCACACUGGGCCCUACCCACCUGGAAAGAGGCUGGCCUGGGGUUGAAUGAGAACCAGAAGUGACUCAGGCUAGGACCCCUCUGCACCCUCCCUCAGGCCGUGGGUAAUUACCUGCCCAGGUUAAUAGCGCCCACUUCCCGCCACCUUUCAUCAAGGCUCCUGGAGCUGCCAGGCAGUAAUUAACCCUCACAGCACCCUUCUGAAGUCAGCACUGGAGGCAGACGUGUGAUGAAACACGUUUAUUACAGGAAGCACCAGUUAGCCCAGAUGCUUCUCAUCUUUGGAGUUGAGCUGCAGGCUGGAGACCUGGAAGGCCCUCGCAGCGCCUGCUCCCAUCCUCUCACCUCACGAAAGCGCAGGAAUGUGGGUUUGGAGCCAAUGAAAAGUACUGGAAUCUGGCUCUGCUCUGUGACCCUGGACAAGUCACUGCCCCUCUCUGGGCUUCAGUUUCCUCCUUGGUAACAGCACCUCGACUUCCUACUGAAGAACCCCCUCUUCCCUUUUCUCAGUCCAUGAGGCUGGGGGUGCCCAGAGGCCUCUGUCUCCAGGGGUGGACAUGUGACCGGGUCUUGCUCUAGUGAUUGGUCCAGGGAUGGGCACAUGACUGAGCCUGCCCAAUGAAACUUGAUCUUGGGACUUCAGGGUUGGCCAUGAUUUGUGAAGGAGAUGCCAUUUUCCAUUGGAUGGACAGUGAGCAAGUGAACGCUUAGAGAAGAAGAGGACAAAACAAGGGAAAAGCCUGCCUGACAGGAAGCAGCACAGAGCUGGACAGGCUUUGAACUCCUGGAUCCCACUGUACCUGAAAUUAGGCACCUUCAACUUUCUAGUUAUGUGAGCCACUGUCUUUCCCAUUUUUGGCUGAAAACAGUUGGGACUGGCUUUCUGUCCCUUGCAUACAGAAGGUGCUGACUGACCCCUGCCCCAUGGAAGAAGAUACUCCAGGCAGAGGAAAUAGUGUGUAUAGACACCCCUAAGCGAAUGCCAAGCGGGGCACUCAUGUACCAAGAAGAAGGAGGAGGAGGCACCUGGGAGCUGAGCUUAAGAGUUAGUCGGGUGGUCAAGGUGGGAGAAGGGGGUAUCUUUAGCAGAGGGAACAACCAUUGCAAAAGCUUGGAGGGGUGACUAGUUAGUGAAGAUCAACUGUGUGCUGAGCUCGUGUUGGGUGGCAAGGGACACAGACGAAAAGGGCACGGUGGAACCCAGCUACUUCUCACCUGCUCCAGCGCAGUGCAGGCUUGUCUGCUUUUGGAGCCGAGCCUGGACACCUCCGUGUCCUUCCCCCGGCAGAGUGCUGCCAGCACGCUGUCUCAGACUCUCCAGCAUCUCCUGGUUGAUGUGCAUCAUGGGGACCACACAAGAUUAUUUUAUAGGCUGCACAGGCAAAGCAUAAAAUCACCUCGGGUCACAUAGCGAGAGUUAUUCUCUCUGCAAAUUCUUUACAGUCUUUCCUUUAUAUCCAGAAGAGUCUCUGUGUGGUGCUAACUUGCCUCGAAGACCAAAUAAUUGCUAGUCUCCCUUUGUGAAAAGGAGAGCAGGUGUCAGGCUCAUUCAUGUCUCAGGCACACAAUUGUAUCUAGCUAGACUUUUCAAAAUGUCCUAUAGAGCUGCAGCACAUAUGAAUGAGGUGUCCAGCUGGUCCCAAACCUGUAAUCGGCACCCCAGUGAGCAGACUGGACAUCCCCACCCCCACAGCUGCCCUUUCUCCCCUCCACUCAUGUUCCCUCUAGGGCCACCACGAUCCCGACUUGUAUCACCACAGAUGAGUUUCACAUGUUUUUGAAUUUUACAUCUUAUCUGUUUUCUGUUCCUAUACAAGUUUGCCUUUUUUGAAUUCCAUAUAAGUGGGAUUCUACAAUGUGUUAUCUCAAUUUGAGUCUGUUUUUUUUUUCCUGCUCAGCAUGAUGUUUUUGAGAUGCAUAUAUGCGGUUUUGUGUAUCUGUAGAUGGUUCUUUUUUAUUGCAGAAUAAUGUUCCAGGGUAUGGAUGUACCAAAGCUUGUUCAUCCAUUCACCAGCUGAGGGAUAUUUGGACUGUUUCCAGUUUUCAGCCAUUAUAAAUAAAGCCACUAGAAACAUUUGCAAACAGGUUUUUAUGUGAACAUAAAUUUUUGUUUAUCUUGGGUAAAUUUCUAGGAGUGGAAUUGCUGGGCCAGGUGGCCAAGUGUAUGUUUCACUUUAUCAGAAACCGCUGAGCUGUUUUCCAAGGUGUCUGUACCAUUUUUCAUCCCUACCAGCAAUGUAUGAAAGUGUCAGUUGCUUCGUAUUCUCACCAGCACUUGGUGGUGUUAGUUUUUUGUGUGUGUACAUGUGUUUUACUUUUAGUCAUUCAAAUAGGUGAUAAUAGUAUCUCAUUGUGGUGUUAGUUUGCAUUUCCCUAAUGACUAAUGAUGUUGAACAUCUUUGUAUGUGUUUCUUUGCCAUCCGUAUAUUUUCUUUGGUGUAGUAUCUGUUCAAACUUUAUGUCAGUUAAAAAAAAAGACCCAAUUGUUUUCUUCUUAAUAGAUUUGGAGAGUUCUUUAUAUAUAUUCUGGAUACUAGUCAAGCCUUUGUGAAAUAUGUGAUUUGCAAAUAUUUUCUCCUGUUCUGUGGCUUGUCUUUUUAUUCUUUCAAUAGGUAGACUUUAAUAACAUCGUUUUGUUUUCUUUUUAAGUAUUUUUCUGGUUAUCUUUGAUUUGUGGCAUGUAUUCUUUGGUUUUUCAAUUUUAGUGAUAACACCAAAUGUUUUCUUUUAAAAUGAAUUUAUUUAAGUAAAAACGUCAGUAAAUUUGAAGAAACACAUUAAAUAAGGAAUAGUAGAAGUGGACAGUAGACAGCAUAAAAAUCGUGAAGGCAGUUUCCAAUUUGCAUAACCAAAGUGUGGGCAGCUCCGAUUCGUUCGUCAACAAAUACUGAUGGAGCCCCCACUGUCCACCAGGCUCUGAGCCAGGUGCUGGGGACACAGCACCAAGCGAGAUAGUUGUUUGCUCUUUUAAUGCUGGUUUUUCUCCAGUGAGUCUCUCUUCAUCUUUCAAAAGCCAAUUUGAAUGACCCUUCCUUCAUCCAGACCUUCCCUGGAAUGUUUGUCACACUCUACUGCAAAUUUCUAUUUCUGUAUCUCCCAGGCAAGGGGCAUGUCGGGCAGCCUCUGGUAGGGUUGUAGAGAGCUUGGUGCAUAGAUAUCUCAAUAAAUAGCCUCUCACAUAGUACAAGCUAUGAUGAGGUGCUGAAGACCAGUUGCUGAUUCAAUUGGUUGAAACUAGCCAGGCCUGAUGAAGGGGCCUGAGGACCUUCCCUGCUGCAGUCUGGCUGACCCCAAGCAAACCAAAGUCUCUCCCCUUGGCCUCCCCUCCCACAUAAAGAUACCAAGAGAAAAAGCCUCCCAAACCCACUGCCUUCAGCCUCUGCUAUUUGCUUCCCAUCCAGUGCCCAUGGAUGCCUUUCCUGCAAGACACAGUAUUCACACAGACACUUACCAGGCAUCUUUGUUCUGACCUGCCCCAGGACCACCACUUUCACCUUGGCCUCUUACCACCAUUCCCCUGUUCCUCCACUCCAGCACACCAGCCAGUGUUUGCCCCUCCAACAUGCCCAGCUCAUUCCCACCCCUGGGCCUUUGCACUAGCUCUUCCCUAGUUCUUUGCCUUCUCUAGCUCUCCACAUUCAGUUCUGAACUUCACUGACCCUCCUCAGAGGCUCUCUAGGCUAUGCUACCAAAGCCCUCUCUCCUCUUUUUUUUUUUUUUUUUUUUUUUUUUUUUGAGACAGGGUCUUACUCUGUCACCUAGGCUGGAGUGCAGUGGUAUAAUCAUAGCUCACUGCAGCCUCCAUCUCCCAGGCUCAAGUGAUCCUCCUGCCUCAGCCUCCUGAAUAGCUGAGACUACAGGUGUGUGCCAUCAUGCCCAGCUAUAUACAUAUAUUUUUAAAGUAGGGAUAUACUCACUCACUGAGCUCAGUAUGUAGCUCAGGCUGGUCUCAAACUCCUGAGCUCAAACAAUCCUCCCACCUCGGCCCUCCAAGUGCUAGGAUUACAGGCGUGAGCCACUGUGCUCAGACACCCCAUGUAUUUUUGAUCCCUUCAUUCUGUUUCUGUCCUUUGUAGCAUGGAAUGCUCUCAUUUCCGAGUUUAUUUGUGUGUUUGUUUGUUUCUCGCCGUGUCCCCUGUUGGAGUGGCAGUUCCAUGAGGGAUUUGGGUCUGUCCUUCUCUCUAUCUCCCCAGUGCCUAGCACAGUGUUCAGCACACAGUCGGUACUCAAUCAGAAUUUGUUGAAUCUAUGAGUGAAUGAAUGAAUGAGCUCAUGAGCUCUCCCUUCUCCAGAUGCACUCACGGCAAAGUUGAACCCAUCUAUCUGCCCAUGCGUCAGGCUAGUUGUCCUGUGGGCCCCUCCUGGGUGGGUACUGAGGGAUGCCCACUGGGUCCAGCCAGGCCUGUGUCUUGUCAGCUGCCCAGGCUAAGGGACUUUCCAUUGUCCUUGGAGUUGGCCUGUGGAAAGUUGUUCUCAGGACCUCGUGAGCCUGGGGCCAUGGAUGGGGCUAAAGGUAACUGCAAGGUAUAGGGACCCGGCGUGAAAUUCCAUCAGUUAACACUGUAAGUGAGGCUUUCCAGCUCCCUUUCGUCCUCCCUGUGAUGCCAAGGGGAGGGAGAAACUCCACGUGGGGCUUGUGUGUCUUGAGCACCUUCCUACCACCUGCUUUUUCUUCGGAAGAAACAGAGCAGAUCCCAAGUACAAGCCGUCAUCGGCAAUAGUAGCUGGCUUUGUUUCACUUUUUUGUAUAUUUCACCAAUUGUCUUCCAUUUGCAGCAAGUGCCUUAGAUUGGGUGCCUGCAAGCAGACCUUAACAGAAUAAACUGAAGGCAAGUAGCCUAUUUGGGAGAUGCCUCCAGAAAGCACUGGUAGGGAAGUGAGAUCAGGGAGGAAGGGCUGCCAAUCUCAAGAGCGCUACCAAGCCAGUAACCACUUAGGCAGCUGGGGCUCGGUCCUGCUGUGGCACGCUGGGAGCCCAUGUAGUAACGGAGUUAGCCCCCCAGGGGCGGAGAUCGGGUGGUCAGGGAGCUGGGGAAGGGACAUGUCAGCUCCUGCCUAUCAUUGCUUGACAGCUGCCGCUUGGAGUGUUAGUUCCCAGCACAUCCAGCCUGCCCCAUGAGCAAAGCUCACAGGUGAAGGGGACAGGUGCUGCAGGUGGAAUCCUGUCUGUGUUCACCGGAGAAAAGGGAGAGGAGGUAUGGGCAGGGCACAGACAACAAAGGCCUCACAGUCAACACUGGUUCCUCAUUUAAAGCCAGGAUAAAAUGAGUUCAUUUAAAAUUAAGUUUUCGCAAACAUUUAAAAAGCGAAUUGAUGGAAAGAGUAGGUAAUACCUGCAGGUGAAAUGUGAACAUGGCAAAUGCUGCUAUUUUUCAAGGCGUCCAAAGCCUUUAAUAGGCAAACAGUGUUCUUCACGACCCACAAGAAUGGCGUGUUUGGGGCGGUGAAAACACUCUCCCUUUCCUCCCAGCAUGCCAGGCUCAUGCUCACUCCUAACACUGCCCAGGACCCCUGGGAGUCCUGGAAAUGGGCCAUGAGGCUUGGAGGCAGAAGCCCUGUGUGACUUGGGGUUUGUCCCUUAACAUCUCUGGGCCUGUCUGUUAAAAGGGGAUGUUCUCAAGUCACAUAAAAGAGUAAAUGUGCAAAAAUAGUCAAAGCAAUGCUGAAAGAAGAACUAAGAGAGAGGACUUGUCCGUCCAGACAUUAGAAUAUAUGACAAAGGCAUAGAAAUAAAACAGUUUGGUAUUGGCAUCUAAGUGGACAAAUACAUCACGGGAACAGAAUAGCAUCCAGGAAUUAACCCGGCUAUCACCUGGCCUACCUCCACUCAUAGAUGUGAAAGGAUUUAGAAAAGGGAAGAGAUUGGCAGGCAUGGGAUUCUCUGGAUUAUGUUAUGUCUGGGCUGGUGAAGAAGCUUCCAACAGGCUCCCCAUCUGCAGCCCUCCCCUCUAACCUACCAGCCAUGGCACCAGGGACACUCACUGUCAUGAGCUGCACUCACCCCCGCUCUGCUCUGGAAAUAUCAGAGCCUCCCACGCAAGAUGGGUUAGACCACAGUUGUCACCAUUCCUCCUUUUGCACUUCUCUUUGAUUCUUCUGAUUAACCCAAGGAGAAAGUCUCAGGCGGGCGCGGCUGGACUUGAAUACCUCUCCCACGUUUGCUCGUCUCCCUUUAUGAGGCAGAGCUGGCCUUAAGCUCAGGGCCUUCAGCAGGCAGGAGAAUGGAGCAAGAAUUUGGUAACGUUCUUUUGUGAUUGUUGUUUUAAGGUUACUUUCUCUUUACAGAAAUGAAAAGUUGUUUCCUCCUUCUGAUAGUAACACAAAUUUUCCUUUUAAAAUAAUUUUUUCUAAUCCAUAUUACAAUGAGAAUGAACCUCCAAAACAUGAUGCUAAGUGAAAAAAGCCAGACACAGAGGUCUUUUUUUUUUUUUUUUUUUUUUUUUGAGACAGGUUCUUGCUCUGUUGCCCAGGCUGGAGUGCAGUGGUGUGAUCUCGGCUCAUUGCAACAUCUGCCUCCCAGGCUCAAUGAUUCUCUCACCUCAGCCUCCCCAGUAGCUGGUACUACAGGUGCGUGCCACCACACCUGGCUAAUUUUUGUAUUUUUUGUAGAGGCAGGGUCUCCCUAUUUUGCACAGGCUGGUCUCAAACUCCUGGGCUGAAGAAAUCCUUCCGCCUCAGUCUCCCAAAGUGCUGGGACUACAGGCGUGGGCCACCAUGCCUGGCCAGAAGGUCACAUAUUGUAUGAUUCCCUUUCCAGGAAAUCUCCAAAAUAGGUACAUCCAUUGAGACCAGUGAAGAAUGGUGGUUGUUAGGGGAAUGGGGAGCGGCUGCUUUAUGGUCACAGGGUCUCCUUUUGGGGUGAUGAAAAUGUUUUGUGAUUAGCUAGAGGUGAUGGUUGCAGAACACAAUGCAAAAAUGCCACCGAAAUGUUCACUUUAAAAUGCUUAAUAUGAUGCUAUGUGAACUUCGUCUCAGUAAGUUAUUUUUUUAAAAAACCAGUGGAGUAAACCAAAAAAUCAAUUUACUUAAGAAAAGGUAUGAAUGGCUUUAAAGAUGGCUUUUAAGUGACGUGUGGGAGACAGUGGCUAAGGGGAUGAUUCUCACCCAUCGUGAGCCUGGGACCAUGGAUGGGGCCAGAGGUAGCUGCAAGGUACAGGGACCCGGCGUGAAAUUCCAUCAGUUAACACUGUAGGUGAGGCUUUCCAGCUCCCUUUCGUCCUCCCUGUGAUGCCAAGGGGAGGGAGAAACUCCACGUGGGGCUUGUGUGUCUUGAACACACAUUGGCUUAUACCUUGCUCAGGCCUGGAAGGCCCUCUGCUCACUGACGGAAUCCUAUGCAUCCCUGGGAACCCAGCUCAAGCCUCACCUCUACGGGAAGCCCUUCCUGAUUACACAGGUGGUCAGGCGGGGUCAGUCCUGCAGCCCUUCAGACCCGGUUGUGAAUCCCAGUCUUGCCACUUACUAGUGGGAGGAGUCUCUUAACUUAGACAUAUUGUUUGACUAAGAGGGCCUCAGUUUCCUUAUCUGGAAAAUGGGGGCUUAUGAUAGCUCUUAUCUCACUAGGUUGAGCUCCUACAUAGAAAGUUUUAGGACAGAACCUGGGGAGAUGUAGCUGCCCUUCAUUCACACUUCAGUCUGACACUGAUCACAUCACAGUUGCAUUCCUUUUCCUCCUGUCUCCUACACUGUGGGCAAGGGCUCAGCCUUUGUGAUCUCUGUAUCAUGUUGCUGUACAGAACUCACACACAGUAGGCACCCAAGAAGGGCGGGUUGGCUGACGUGCAGAGGAACUCCCAGAAUUCCACCUCUUCUCUCACCUCCACGGUCCCCACCCUGGUCCAGACCCUGCAUGGCUUACCUGGACUAUUGUGGUCUCCUCCUCCCUGGUUUCCUGGCUUCUGUCCUGAAUCCUCCACCUCCAAUCCAUUCCCCACAUGCAGCCAGAGAGAUCCCGUGAGAAUCUAAGUCAGAUCUCGUCCCUUCUCUGCCUGGAAACUUCCCACAGCUCUCACCUUGCUUAGAGGAAAAGCCAAAGUCCUUCCCGUGGCUCAUCCACUGUGGGACAUGCCCCAGGUCCUCUCUGCUCUCUGUUCCUCCUCCCCAAGGCCUCAUCCCUACGACAGUCUCCUUGUUGUUGCUCCGACACUCCAGGCUCCACCUCAGAACCUCGCAUCUGCCGUUCUGGUUUCCUGGAGCACCCAUUACCCCACACGGCCCGCUGCUCACUUCCUCACCUCCUCCAGGCCUCUGCUCAAAUAGCACCUGCUAGGGAAGCUUCCCCCUGCUUCCCAGGUUUUGCUGGACUCCAAAGCUCUUUUCUUCCCAGAGGCAAAGCCCUUGGCUGGGGUCCUGGGCCCAGCCCGGUGACUCAGGCGGAGAAGAUGCUCCCAGGCCUCCCGCUGGAUUUGGGGCCCAGGGUCAGCCAUGGGGGUAGGCGGUACCUAGGCUGUACCUGGCGCAGAGGCCUCUGCCUGCCCCUGCCGUGGGAGGCAGCCCUGCCCUGCACACACGGGCUUCCAGGCUGCGGGUGGGAAAGCCCCACAUCCUCCUCUGCUUACCUGACUCCAGCUGACUCAGACCCCCAGCCCUGGCCAGAGGGGAGCCGCAGCUGCUCCGCCCCUUGAUGGGAAGCAGAGCUGUGGCUGUGAGGGCCUGGC
rnacentral:lncRNA from 1 species